AUCUUAGCAGCUACUAGCCCCGCCCACCCGCCCUUUCUUUUCUUAGAGUGUAUGUCGUUUGCCAAAAUCAGUUUUAUCUCAGCAGGUACUAGCCCCGCCCGCCCGCUCUCUCUUCUCUUAGAGGCUAUUCCAUUAGCCAAAAUCAGUCUUAUCUUUUCAGCUACCAGCCCCGCCCAUCCACCCUCUCUUUUCUUAGAGGGUAUGUCAUUGCCAAAAUCAGUUUUAUCUUAGCAAGUAGUGAUGACUAACUUUUACAAAAAAUGAUCAAAAUUUGGAAACAUUACGAGAAGGUGGAUUUCAGUCACCAUCGUUACUAAGAAAUCAGAAAGUAAGCUGGAGGUAUUCACGCAAUAGAUGCGUGCAGUGUUGCCAAUUUUCAUAAAGAUUUUUUUUAUUUUUUGGGACGCCGAAACCCCGUACAUAACGUACUGCAAAGUUAAUGCGCCAUUUUCCAGACACUCGGUAUAUUAGGAAUAUCGUCUAGAUCUCUAGAUGGUAAAACGCUAAUCAUCCCCAUCAACAAUAUGUUGACGUCAUUUCCAAGAUUUGCACUAGUAAAUGUUAUUUAGAUCUUAUACAUUAUGAAUCCGUGUUGACAUCCAAAUUUUUCGAAAAAAUAAAUAAAAAUUGUGUAGAAACAUUUUGCAAUUUAACUUUGAAACACCAAACACAGAUUUUGGCUGCGGAAAGUAGCAUCAUCAGUGGCAAAAUGAAAACAGCGAAUAUGUACGUACAGAAUUCUUAAUGCUGUAGUGAAAAAAUUACCGUGACCAUUGAAUUAGAAAUGUGCGUAGGCGAAAAAGAAUAUUUCGAUUAACAGUCAGAAAUUUUGGAAGUUUGUAAAAAUUUUAAAAUCGUAAUCAGGACAAACAGGUAUGGAGUGCUAUCUGGAAUGUUCUAUUUCACGCAUUAUCAUUUGAUGAGCAUGCCAAGGGCUUGUGCGUUGUUUAUGUUUAAACUCUUUGAGCACUUUGUUUUCUCAGUGAUAUAUAUAUCAACUCGCUCAUUUUCGGUCACAAAAUGUAAUUUUUGAUAUACAAUUAAUAAGAGAACUAAUGCUAUACCUCGAUCAAGAUGUAGAGUCGGUAAAAAAAUGAUAUUACUUUGUAUGAAUCAUUUAAAGCGUCAUUUUAUAAAUUAAGAUAAAUCACUUGGAUUUAGAUAUUUUCACGUAUCGUCCAAUCAUUCGUUGAUUAUAUGGAAAUCGUACUCUCGUGAGGAUUUCCGAAAUUAUCUUUUGUUUCAUUUCCGUACUAUGGAAGUUUAAAACUUCUAUGAAGCAGGGUUUUCUCUUAAGAUUAUCUCGUUUUGUUUACUACUAGGAAAUAAGAAUUACUACUUAAUAGAUUAUAUUAUGAUGACUAAAUCUAUGAUGAAGGUUGUUUAUAUAUUUUUUAACUUCGGUGUUAUCAAUUUCCGGUAAAUAUAUGUGAAAGCGAAUCAGUUUUUAACGGCACUGACUGUGGCAAAUAGGUGUUUGAAUUUUACAGCUUAAUCUAAUAUAUAAAAAUGGAUGUUGGUAUAUAUAUCUGUGAUCAAUAGACUCCGAAAUCGCUUGACCGAUCACCAUGAAAUUUGGUACAUGUAAGUGGUUUUUCAUGGAGAAGGUUUUUGUGGUAUCCGCUUUGCUGUAACUAGCCACUAGAUGGCGCUACAGCAUAUCAACUUCUACACCGUUCAACCGAUUCUCAUAAAAAUUGGUACACGUUGCCAUUUGACUAUGGAGAAUAUUUUCGCCCUAUCCAUUUUGCUGUAACUCGCCACUAGAUGGCGCUGCAACACAUCAACUUCUGUACCAAUCAACCGAUCCUCAUGAAAAUUGAUAUACGUUGGUAUUUAACCAUGGAGAAUAUUUUCCAGCGGCAUCCAUAUAUCUAAUACUACUAUAUUGCUAUCAGGCCUCAAAAAAGUCCGAAAACACAACAGCAGAGCAAUAUAUCGGACCUCUUUGUCUCUCUAUAGUACCAAACAGUACUGCUCAUGUACUCGUACUUGCUUGAUUUUUAGUCGAUAACGUGACUAGAUGUGUUUUGACAUUUCAUACGUUCGCUUCUAUUUUGUGUACGUGCGCACAGAUCCUCAGUACUUUUCUAGACAGAAAACAAUAUCUUCCGUCUCCCUUUGUCCGUGAACACCGUUUCUAUGUUACUUCUGAAGAGUUAGCAAGUAUUAGAUAUAUGGCGGCACCAAUGACAACAUUGUUUUCGUUGGUAUUACAACAAAAAUCGUAUUGACCGCAAAAGAAAAUAAUUAGUGCUGUUCACUGUCUACAAUCCUCAGUAAUAACAAAGAGUGAAUUACUAAAGAUUAUUGAAAAUGCCACCCAAAAAAUCAAACAUUGGAAGAUCAACCAGACAUCGCAGCAACUGGCAGCCAGUAGAGCUGCUGAAACAUAGAUCGCGUUGGCUGAUUCUGCACCUGUCAAAGCAUUAUGAAAUUCGAGAAUCAGCUGCAUCAAUGACAACAUUAUGACAACAUUGUUUUCGUUGGUAGACGAGUCAUCUGUCUAAUUACUGGAGAUUAUUGAAAAUGCCACCCAAAAAAUCAAACAUUGGAAGAUCAACCAGACAUGCGCAGCAAGUGGCAGCCAGUAGAGCUGGUGAAACCUUUGAAAUACGAAACGCACGACUGGAAACUGAUCGGAUCAGGGCCUCUACUUCAAGAAUUGCCGAAACACCCGAAGAGCGAGACUCACGAAUUGAAAACCUGCGGGUGCGAGCUUCUACGUCAAGAGCUGCCGAAACAUCACAACAGCAUGACGUACGUGUUGAAGAUCUUCGAGCAAGAGCGUCUGCGUCAAGAGCUUCUGCAACACCAGAAGAGCGAGACACACGACGUGAAGCAGAACGCUCACGGCAGACUCGAUCAAGAACAAGAAUCGAUCUCAAGAAAGCAGCGUUCAAUUACGAUAAAGACUAUGACUACAAAAUGCAUCGCGAUGUUGUCAUUGGUCCGAUGACUAAAUUGUGUCUACACUGUCGCGCUUUGAAGUUUCAAAAAGAAGCGCCUGGCAUGUGUUGCUCCAAUGGCAAAAUCAAUUUGCCACCACUGACUGAACCACCAGAACCACUGCUCACUUACGUUGCUGGAGUUACUCGGGAGUCCAAACACUUUCUACAGCAUAUUCGGAAAUACAACUCAUGCUUUCAGAUGACAUCGUUUGGAGCGACGAAUAUUGUGAGAUAUAAUAAUUUUAUGCCCACAUUUAAAGUGCAAGGACAAUGUCAUCAGAUUGGUUCACUCCUUCCAGUAUCCAAAGAAGAUCCGCAAUUUUUGCAAAUUUAUUUCAUGGACAAUGUGGAGAAGGAGAUUGAUCGACGAUGCGCAUUUAGUAUAGCAACAGAUCGAAAGAUUAUUGCUGAAUUACGAGCAUUAUUCCACGAGCACAACUGUUUGGUCCGAGAUUUCAAAUCCGCAUUGGAGAAUGUAAGAGCGGAUGACUUCAAACUCAUUAUCAGAGCAGACAAAACCCCAUGGAAUGAGCAUGAAAGACGCUUCAAUGCUCCAAUAGCCCCUGAAGUAGCAGCUGUAAUUGUCGGUACAGAAAUUAUUCGGCGAGAUAUUGUUAUCAGCAGGCGAAAUCAAACCAAGCAACGUAUUGCUGAAACACAUCGAUCGUACGACGCACUUCAAUAUCCAAUUCUAUUUCCGCGAGGAGAAGACGGUUAUCAUCUCGAAUUGUAUCAAACUCAUCCCGUCACAGGUGCUGCGACAACGAAAAAAGUCAGUUGUAUGGAUUUUUAUGCAUAUCGCAUCAUGAUUCGAGCCGAACAAUCCAACCAUAUCUUAAAGUGUCGUCAUGUUUUUCAACAAUUCAUCGUUGAUAUGUACGCCAAAGUCGAAAGCGAACGACUCAAUUACAUUCGUUACAAUCAAUCGAAGCUUCGAGUCGAAGAUUAUAUUCAUUUGCGAGAUGCAAUCGCUAAUGAUGGAACAAUUGGUAAUAUUGGACAAACGGUUAUACUUCCAGCUUCGUAUACUGGAAGUCCAAGACAUAUGCAAGAAUAUGCUCAGGAUUCUCUGACAUAUGUUCGCAGAUAUGGACGUCCAGAUCUUUUUAUCACGUUCACAUGUAAUCCAUCUUGGUGUGAAAUCAAAGAUUUACUUUUGCCUGGCCAACAACGAUCUGAUCGGCAUGACCUCACAGCGAGAGUUUUCAAACAAAAAUUGAUACGUUUUAUGGAUCUCAUCACUAAGAACCAUAUAUAUGGAGAAACUCGCUGUUGGAUGUAUUCCAUCGAAUGGCAGAAAAGAGGUCUACCACAUGCUCAUAUCUUAAUUUGGUUGGUUGAAAAAAUUGUUCCAACUCAAAUUGAUGAUAUCAUUACUGCUGAGCUGCCCAACGCAGAAGAAGAUCCAGAAUUAUUUGAAAUUGUGAAAAAAAAUAUGAUUCACGGACCAUGUGGGGGACACAACCCACACUCGCCAUGCAUGAAAGACGGAAAAUGCACCAAAAAGUAUCCACGCCAGCUGCUGCAAGAAACACAAACUGGUGGCGACGGUUAUCCGUUGUACAGACGACGAAAACCAGAUGAUGGAGGAUACACCACAACUAUCAAAAUCAAUAACGUUGAUUUCGAAGUUGAUAACCGAUGGAUUGUGCCCUACUCUCCUAUCCUUUCGAAAUCAUUCAAUGCACAUAUCAACGUGGAGUCCUGUAAUUCAGUUAAGGCAAUAAAAUACAUAUGCAAAUACGUGAAUAAAGGCAGCGAUAUGGCAUUUUCGGAAUUGCGAAUCCCAAUGCGCCCGUCAAUGAAAUCGAGCAAUUUCAAAUGGGACGUUACAUUAGCAGUAAUGAAGCUGUAUGGAGAAUUCUUGGUUUCGACAUUCAUGAACGCUUUCCUGCUGUCAUGCAUCCCAGUGUUCACUUGGAAAACGGUCAACGAGUCUACUUCACGGAAGACAACGCACCCCAACGAGUUGCAGAUCCACCAAAUACAACGUUGACCGCUUUUUUCCAAUUGUGUGCAACUGACGAAUUCGCAAAAACAUUAAUGUAUCACGAAGUCCCGCAGUACUACACUUGGAAUCAAUCGACGAAGAAAUUUUGCAGAAGAAAACGAGGCGCCAGGCAUUCUUCUAUAGCUGGCAUAUUUUCUACUGGUGCACUGGGAAGAGUAUAUACUGUUCAUCCAAAUAAUGGUGAAUGCUACUAUUUGCGAAUGCUGCUUCACGUGGUCAAAGGACCAACAUCGUUUCAAGCAAUCAAAACAAUCGAUGAUCAAGAGUGUGAAACAUACAGAGAAGCAUGUUUUAAACUUGGUUUGCUUGAAAAUGAUCAACAUUGGGACAACACAUUAGCGGAAGCAUCUGAGACACGUCAUGCCCAUCAAAUACGAACUCUGUUUGCCAUAAUUUUGACAACCUGCGCACCUUCUGAUCCGAAAGGUUUAUGGGAAAAACACAAAGAGACUAUGAGCGAAGACAUACUUCUCCGAGCACGCAAAAAUAAUCCCGGCUUGGAUGUACAGUAUUCGGAAGACAUUUUCAAUGAAGCACUGAUAUCACUUGAGGAUGUGUGUAUGUCGAUUAACAACAAAAUCCUCAAUCAGCUUGGGCUGUUUUCACCGGAACGUGACAGAAACGAUGUUAUAGAUAGAGACGUAUUGCGAGAAAAACAAUACGACGUCGAUGCGCUACAAGUUUAUGUUGAAACUCAGAAAAGGCUCUUAACAAACGAUCAACGACUUGCAUACGACACAAUUAUGGAGCAUGUGCGAGGCGGAAAUGGUGGACUUCUUUUUCUUGAUGCACCAGGAGGCACAGGAAAAACGUUUCUACUCAAUUUGAUACUCGCUGAAAUUUGAAUGAAACAUGAGAUUGCUUUAGCUGUGGCAUCAUCGGGGAUUGCAGCAACAUUACUCGAUGGAGGACGCACGGCGCAUUCGGUUCUCAAGCUGCCAUUGAAUUUAAAUCUAGCUGCUGAUCCUCUUUGCAACAUUGGAAAAACAACUGGAAUGGCAACUGUAUUGAAAACAUGCCAACUGAUUAUUUGGGAUGAAUGUACUAUGGCCCAUAAGAAAGGACUUGAAGCACUUGAUCGUACUCUGUGAGAUUUCCGAAGCGAUGAACGUCCACUGGGCGGAGCUCUGAUCCUGCUCGCAGGUGAUUUCCGUCAAACUUUGCCCGUGAUUCCUAGAUCAACACCAGCAGACGAGUUGAAUGCAUGCCUGAAAAAUUCGUCUCUCUGGAGACGUGUGAAAAAAAUUACACUGUCGACCAAUAUGCGUGUGCAUUUACUUGGAGAUGUUUCUGCACAAAUAUUUGCCAAACAACUUUUGGAUAUCGGCGACGGCAAACUUUUGGCUGAUCCUACAACACAGGAGAUAGCGUUCCCUCCGAACUUCUGUCAACUUCAGUCAUCAAUUGAAGAACUUGAAGAGAGAGUUUUCUCCAACAUCGCCAACAACUUUAGAAAUCAUGAUUGGCUUUGCGAGCGAGCUAUCUUAGCUCCAAAGAAUGAUGAUGUCAAUCGAAUCAAUAAUAAGAUUCAAUUAAAAAUUCCUGGGGUGAUUACGGAAUACAAAUCGAUUGACACAGUUACAGAAGAGGACCAAGCUGUAUUAUCCAGUCGAAUUUGUCAAUUCGUUGGAGCCUCCUGGAAUGCCACCGCACAUACUGACGUUAAAAGUUGGCUCACCAAUACUGCUCCUUCGGAAUCUCAAUACCCCGAAGUUAUGCAAUGGAACCAGACUUUCAGUGAAAAAACUGAUGCCGAAUGUGAUUGAAGCAACAAUAAUUAGCGGCAAAUGUAAAGGUGAAGAUGUGCUGAUUCCGUGCAUUCCAAUGGUUCCUACUGAUUUGCCCUUUACAUUCAAACGACUACAGUUUCCUGUGCGUCUUGCUUUCGCGAUGACAAUCAACAAAGCCCAAGGGCAGUCUCUACGCGUUGCCGGAUUAAAUUUACGAAAUCCAUGUUUUUCGCAUGGUCAACUGUAUGUUGCUUGCUCCAGAGUAGGAACUCCAAAAACUCUGUACGUCUAUACACCAAAUCGAAAAACCAAAAAUAUUGUUUACCCACUAGCGUUACGAUAGAUGUUAGUAUUGAUUAAAAUGUGUUCAAGUUGUUUCAGUUAUAUAGCGAAUACAAUAGUCAAAAAUUUUGUUCAUUCACGUGAAUUACUAAUACAAAAAUGUGUACAUUGUGUAUACUAAUGAAAAUAAAUGGAACAGCAUCAAUAUGAAUUAAUCUUAUUAUUCAGUUUUCUACAACGCAUUCUGCGCUCCAGACCAUACAUUUAUAUCCACAUAUAAUAUAUACACAAGCAGGACAACGUCUGCCGGGUUCCGCUAGUCUAAUAUAUAAAAAUGGAUGUUGGUAUAUAUAUAUAUCUGUGAUCGAUAGACUCCGAAAUCAUUUGACCGAUCACCAUGAAAUUUGGCACAUGUAAGUGGUUUUUCAUGGAGAAGGUUUUUGUGGUAUCCGCUUUGCUGUAACUAGCCACUAGAUGGCGCUACAGCACAUCAACUUCUACACCGUUCAACCGAUUCUGAUAAAAAUUGGUACACGUUGGCAUUUGACUAUGGAGAAUAUUUUCGCCCUAUCCAUUUUGCUGUAACUCGCCACUAGAUGGCGCUGCAACACAUCAACUUCUGUACCAAUCAACCGAUCCUCAUGAAAAUUGGUACACGUUGGCAUUUGACUAUGGAGAAUAUUUUCACCCUAUCCAUUUUGCUGUAACUCGCCACUAGAUGGCGCUGCAACACAUCAACUUCUGUACCAAUCAACCGAUCCUCAUGAAAAUUGAUAUACGUUGGUAUUUGACCAUGGAGAAUAUUUUCGCGUUAUCGAUUUUGCUGUAACUUGCCACUAGAUGGCACUGCAGCACAUCAGCCUCUCUGUUAAAGUAUUAUGAACUUAGAGAAUCAGCGGUACCCAUAUAUCGAAUACUACUAUAUUGCUAUCAGGCCUCAAAAGAGUCCGAAAACACAACGGCAAAGCAAUAUAUCGGACCUCUUUGUCUCUCUGUAGUAACAAACAGUACUGCUCAUAUACUCGUACUUGCUUGAUUUUUAGUCGAUAACGUGACUAGAUGUGUUUUGACAUUUCAUACGUUCGCUUCUAUUUUGUGUACGUGCGCACAGACCCUCGGUACUUUUCUAGACAGAAAACAAUAUCUUCCGUCUCCCUUUGUCCGUGAACACCGUUUCUAUGUUACUUCUGAAGAGUUAGCAAGUAUUAGAUAUAUGGCGGCACCAAUGACCGCAUUGUUUUCGUUGGUAUUACAACAAAAAUCGUAUUGACCGCAAAAUAAAAUCAUUAGUGAUGUUCACUGUCUACAAUCCUCAGUAAUAACAAAAAGUGAAUUACUAGAGAUUAUUGAAAAUGCCAUCCAAAAAAUCAAACUGAUUCCGCGCAUUCCAAUGGUUCCUACUGAUUUGCCCUUUACAUUCAAACGACUACAGUUUCCUGUGCGUCUUGCUUUCGCGAUGGCAAUCAACAAAGCCCAAGGGCAGUCUCUGCGCGUUGCCGAAUUAAAUUUAGGAAAUCCAUGUUUUUCGCAUGGUCAACUGUAUGUUGCUUGCUCCAGAGUAGGAAUUCCAAAAACUCUGUACGUCUAUACACCAAAUCGAAAAACCAAAAAUAUUGUUUACCCACUAGCGUUACGAUAGAUGUUAGUAUUGAUUAAAAUGUGUUCAAGUUGUUUCAGUUAUAGUGGACCAAAAGCUAUAAGGUUAUAUGGCCAUCAUAAAAUUAUCCCAUUGUGUCGAAGUUAAGUUGUUUACAAUAGAAAAGGUUUUAGGGUCGUAAAUAACGUGUCCAAUGGAGCUCGACCGGCUGUUGUGGUUUCGUUCAGGGACGGCUUUCACUAAAUAUGUAAAUCCACCACUCCAUUAUUUCUUUACUACCUGCAGCCGCUGAGGGUUCCGAAAUCACCACUCGCUUUGAAAGCCGGCCCUGUUAAAUAUGAGCAAGAAAUGUUGAGAAGACGAUUUAUUGCCAACCGGGUAAGCUUAGUGCGAACCACACAAAGGGGGUACUUAUUUGCGGUCAACUACUUUUAUAAUGGUCAUAUAACCUUAUACCUUUUGGACUAGCAUAUAUAGCGCAUACAAUAGUCAAAAAUUUUGUUCAUUCACGUGAAUUACUAAUACAAAAAUGUGUACAUUGUGUAUACUAAUGAAAAUAAAUGGAAUAGCAUCAAUAUGAGUUAUCUUAUUAUUCAGUUUUCUACAACGCAUUCUGCGCUCCAGACCAUACAUUUAUAUCCACAUAUAUACAAAGUAAAUAUAUACACAAGCAGGACAACGUCUGCCGGGUUCCGCUAGUUAAUUAUAAAUCUUCAAGUAUUUAACCGAGUUCCCCUGAUGCGAUUUCCGAUGUACUAUUCCGGCCAAUGAGUAUCACUGGUGUUUACAUAAAGAGAACAAGCGCCACAGUGUUGCUGGUACGUCCGCGCCAAUAG